AACGUUCGACUCGCAACAUUGCUGAGCUGCAGUUCGACUCAAGCCAGGGAACGGGGACUUGA
rnacentral:ncRNA from 1 species